rnacentral:rRNA from 1 species
UACGUAGGGUGCAAGCGUUAAUCGGAAUUACUGGGCGUAAAGCGUGCGCAGGCGGUGAUGUAAGACAGGUGUGAAAUCCCCGGGCUUAACCUGGGAACUGCAUUUGUGACUGCAUCGCUGGAGUGCGGCAGAGGGGGAUGGAAUUCCGCGUGUAGCAGUGAAAUGCGUAGAUAUCAAGAGGAACACCUGAGGUGAAGACGGGUUGCUGGGCCGACACUGACGUUGAGUGCGCGAAAGCCAGGGGAGCAAACGGG